GCCCCCUCUCGCAACCAGCGGCUGAAUAGUUACCUAUUGAUCAGAGAUCUAGACAUCGCAUAAAAGGUAAAAACACCACCAGUAAAUCAAUAUUUUUCAUUUUAUUAAGUUACACAGGUACAUCCAUCCAAGAGUUACAUGACAUUACACAACAUCAAUAAAUCAUCCCACUCGUUUCAUUACUAUAUAGGAUGAUCAUGAUUCAACGCCAAGAGAUCAGCAGCAGAUCAAAUGGGGACCAUAUCUCACGAUUUGAUCAAAUUCAAGAACCUGGUCUGUUCCUCAUGAAGGUUCAAUCCCAUGUCUUGCAAGAUCUUGGCGCAGCGCGGGUCGGUGGU
rnacentral:lncRNA from 1 species